GAUGAACGCUGGCGGCAUGCCUAACACAUGCAAGUCGAACGGACACCUUCGGGUGUCAGUGGCGAACGGGUGAGUAACGCGUAGGAAUCUACCCCUGGGAGGGGGAUAACAGCUGGAAACGGCUGCUAAUACCCCAUACAGGCGCAAGCUGAAAGGAGCAAUCCGCCCAGGGAUGAGCCUGCGUCGGAUUAGCUAGUUGGUGGGGUAAUGGCCUACCAAGGCGACGAUCCGUAGCGGGUCUGAGAGGAUGGCCCGCCACACUGGGACUGAGACACGGCCCAGACUCCUACGGGAGGCAGCAGUGGGGAAUUUUCCGCAAUGGGCGAAAGCCUGACGGAGCAAUGCCGCGUGAGGGAAGAAGGCCUUCGGGUUGUAAACCUCUUUUCUGGGGGACGAAGCUGUGACGGUACCCCAGGAAUAAGCCUCGGCUAACUCUGUGCCAGCAGCCGCGGUAAGACAGAGGAGGCGAGCGUUAUCCGGAGUCAUUGGGCGUAAAGGGUACGUAGGCGGCUAGUCAAGUCUGAGGUUAAAGACCACAGCUUAACUGUGGGAAGGCCUUG
rnacentral:rRNA from 1 species